UACGUAGGGGGCAAGCGUUGUCCGGAAUCAUUGGGCGUAAAGCGCGUGUAGGCGGCUUGGUAAGUCCGCUCUGAAAGCCCGGGGCUCAACCCCGGGAGGCGGGUGGAUACUGUCAAGCUCGAGUCCGGAAGAGGCGAGUGGAAUUCCUGGUGUAGCGGUGAAAUUCGUAGAUAUUGGGAAGAACACCGGUGGCGAAGGCGGGUAGCUGGGCCGACACUGACGCUGAGGCGCGAAAGCCAGGGGAGCGAACGGG
rnacentral:rRNA from 1 species